rnacentral:misc_RNA from 1 species
GGAGGGAUCAUCAAAGGAUAUUGUCUUUUAUACUAAAAGGGAAAGGGGGGUUAGUAUAAUAGCCCUCCUUUUUCCCUUUUCAAACAAACGAUCACAACUAUAUGCAAUAAAACAAAAGGGUAAAUCGGAUUGGUGCGGGGGAAACUUUACGAUUGGACACAAAUGGAAAAAGUGGUUGCCUGAUAUAUAAAAUGUGCAAUUUCUGGAUGAAAUGGUAAUAAAAAGAUACAACUUUCAACAACGGAUCUCUUGGCUCUCACAUCGAUGAAGAACAUAGCAAAGUGUGAAAAUUAAUGUGAAUUGCAGAAUUCAGUGAAUCAUUGAGUUUUUGAACGCAUCUUGCACUUCUUGGUAUUCCAGGGAGUAUGCCUGGUUGAGUAAUGUGAAUACCAUUGAAUCAGACCCUCUUUCCAUAAAAGGAAGCAGCGGGGGUUUGGAGUUGAGUUUUUACCUUGGUUCGCUUGUUGUUGCGCACACAAGGUUCACUUGAAAUGGAGGGAAGGACAAAAAAGGCAGCAGCAGUAAUUUUCCCGAUUUGGAUUUGCCGGAUGUAUGCAUGUGCAUGCAUACGAUGGCAAGAGAAAAGAGGGGAGGGAGAUUGCAACAACAACAACAACAACAACAAUGACUUGAGGAAUAUCAUCGUCAAAGUCUUGCUUGGUUGUAUCUGCUGCUUUGUUUUUCCACAACUAGGGAAUAUGGGAAAAGGGGAGGUGUGUCUCGUCUACUACUGCUACUCACAGCCUCUUUUGGCGGUGGGUAUGUAGGUGGGGGGAUACAGCAACCCAUAACCAUCAUUAUCAUUCUCAACUCAGGCAAGACUACCCGCUGAAUUUAAGCAUAUAAAUAAGCGGAGGAAAAGAAACUAACCAGGAUUCCCUUAGUAACUGCGAGUGAAGCGGGAAAAGCUCAAAUUUGAAAUCUGCCAGGAACCAUCUUGGCCGAAUUGUAGUUUCGAGAAAGAGUGGCUGAGGGGGACAGUUGGAUGCAAGUUCCUAGGAAUGGGACAUCAGAGAGGGUGACAAUCCCGUCCACCAUCCUUCUGGAUCAUCCCCGCCAAAGGCCCUCUUUUCAAAGAGUCGAGUUGUUUGGGAUUGCAGCUCAAAAUGGGUGGUAAAUUUCAUCUAAAGCUAAAUAUGGGUGAGAGACCGAUAGCGAACAAGUACCGUGAGGGAAAGAUGAAAAGCACUCUGAAGAGAGAGUGAAAAGUACGUGAAAUUGUUGAAAGGGAAACGCUUGAAACCAGUCAAGGUUUGCUAGAAAUCAGGGGGGUUCCCAUGGCCAGGCGGGGUUGGUGGGGAGAUCAGGGGUGUAAAAAUACCUUGAUUUCUACCACUGGCUUCCAGCCUGGUCGUGCCCCUUGCAUGUUUCCAGUGGACAAGUCAGCAUCAGUUUGCCGCUUGGGAAAAAGGUAACAGGAUUUGGUCGGGCUUUCAACGGACCUCGUGUCCUUGAAGGCUUGAGCCUGCUUAUCAUGGGAUACCAAGGGGCAGACUGAGGACAGCAGUACAGGGCAUCGUCUUGGAAUAGGCAAUCGUGCGGUGGCAUGCCUGGCAAACAGCAUUGUCUGAUUGUCAGGGAUGCUAUCACCCACGUCUUGUCAAAUCCAGGCAGGCCGUCUGACUUUGGGAUGUUGACGAAAUGGUUUUAAACGACCCGUCUUGAAACACGGACCAAGGAGUCUAACAUGGAUGCAAGUAUUUGGGUGAUCAGGAAACCCAUGUGCGCAAUGAAAGUGAAUUGGCGAGAGGUAGGAAGUCUAGCCGUAAAAGGCUUGACGGCACUAUCGACCGAUCUUGACUAGCCUCGGCUUGAUGGAUUUGAGUGAGAGCAUGCAUGUUGGGACCCGAAAGAUGGUGAACUAUGCCUGAAUAGGGUGAAGUCAGACGAAAGUCUGAUGGAAGCUCGUAGCGAUUCUGACGUGCAAAUCGAUCGUCAAAUUUGGGUAUAGGGGCGAAAGACUAAUCGAACCAUCUAGUAGCUGGUUCCUGC